UAGGGAAUCUUCCGCAAUGGACGAAAGUCUGACGGAGCAACGCCGCGUGAGUGAAGAAGGAUUUCGGUUCGUAAAACUCUGUUGUUAGGGAAGAAAAAAUGUAUAGUAACUAUAUACAAAAGAGACGGUACCUAACCAGAAAGCCACGGCUAACUACGUGCCAGCAGCCGCGGUAAUACGUAGGUGGCAAGCGUUGUCCGGAAUUAUUGGGCGUAAAGCGCGCGCAGGUGGUUUAGAAAGUCUGAUGUGAAAGCCCACGGCUCAACCGUGGAGGGUCAUUGGAAACUAAUAAACUUGAGUGCAGGAGAGAAAAGUGGAAUUCCUAGUGUAGCGGUGAAAUGCGUAGAGAUUAGGAGGAACACCGGUGGCGCAAGCGGCUUUUUGGCCUGCAACUGACACUGAGGCGCGAAAGCGUGGGGAGCAAACAGG
rnacentral:rRNA from 1 species